GUCUCACUACUACUCAGAUCCAUCUCACAGGAACAGACCCAGGUCUCACUACUGUCGACUACCAGAACCCCAGGUCUCACUACUGUCCACUACAGAACCCCAGGUCUCACUACUCCACUACAGAACCCCAGGUCUCACUACUGUCCACUACAGAACCCCAGGUCUCACUACUGUCCACUACAGAACCCCAGGUCACAAUACUGUCCACUACAGAACCCCAGUUCCCACUACAGUGGUAUUUCUGUACGAUUGGACCAAUUGACUGACAUGUUUAUUAAGGUACAACUAAAACACCAGAAGAUAGAAUCUGAUUUAGUAGCGAACACUGUCGAGAUGUGGCUUGUAUAUGAAAUCCAUACUAUUUAUAUAUUACACCAAACCAAGCCCGUUGCCAAAUCCCAGUAGUUAUAGACAGUUUGUUAUACCAGUCUGGAUAAUCUGUCAUACUGGAAGAUAUCACAAUAUUCACAAUAUUCAUCCACUGAAAAGUUUACUAUAUAUUUUCAUAUUCAUAUAUUGUUUUAGAUUAUGAUUUUUUUUUAAAUAUAUAAUGAAUAUCAUUACACCGCCUUCAAACGAGUACUGAAAUGUCUCGCCGGUGACCUCAUAGCUUACAGAGCACCUUACUGGUGGAUAGAGCUGUGACAUCAGCAGGACCAACUUUAACAGUGGUGUUUUACGUGAUGAAGAAGAUGAUAGAAGAGGCUAUGGUCAUAGAAAUAGAAGGGUCUAUAGAAGGGUCCUAGAGCCUCUAACCCUAUUAACUUGAAUGGUGGAAGCCUGUUCUAUAGAUUAUAUUUCUAUAGUUAUGAGAACCUGGGACAUGACAAACUACUAGUACGUGACAAAGCAUAUUCAAUGACUUACUCUGUUCUAUUAUUAUUGUGUGUAUAUAUAUUUAUUUUUUUGAAAGUUAUACUUGAAAAUGGCAUGAUAUGAUUUACUCAUCAAAGUUGUUUAACUUGUAAAAAAAAGAAUAAGAUUGAGAACUUGUAAAAGUGAGCAGGUUAACUUAGUGAAUGUGCUUUUUGUGAUACAUCCUUUUGGUCAUUGUUUUUAUAGACACACAAGAAUAAAUGAAAGAAUUCUAUUAAUUUAGUUUUUAUUAAAAGGCAAGAGGUGUUUGUUUACUGUUCCCAUUGUGCCAAGUGACUGACAUGUUAAGGUACAACUAAGGUACACAUCUGAAUAUAUAGAAUCUGAUUUAGUCCAAGCAGAGAGAACUGUAUUUAAAGACUCCGGUACUUUGGCGACUAGUAAGUUUUAAAACAUUGUUUUUUAAACCUCUCGCUUUGGGUUGGAUGUGUCAAUGUGCAGUUCCAUACAUGCAGAAUUACAGUUUCCCUCGUUUGAAAGAGACUGUUUUCUGGAAGCUGUGCCGUGCCAUUUUCCCUACAUUUCCCCCCCAUGUGCGCCAGCCCCCUAGCAAUUCAUGUUCUAGGCAAUGAACUUCAGACCGUCGCAUUUGAGUGACAUCUAGCAAGA
rnacentral:lncRNA from 1 species